UACAUGGGGUGCAAACGUUGCUCGGAAUUAUUGGGCGUAAAGCGCACGUAGGUGGUCUGUUAUGUCAGAUGUGAAAGCCCUCGGCUUAACUGAGGAAGUGCACCUGAAACUGGCAGGCUUGAGUACGAAAGAGGGUCGCGGAAUUCCCGGUGUAGAGGUGAAAUUCGCAGAUAUCAGGAGGAACACCGGUGGCGAAGGCGGGUCUCUGGGCCGAUACUGACGCUGAGGAGCGAAAGCGUGGGGAGCAAACAGG
rnacentral:rRNA from 1 species